UAAUUAAAUUUUAUUAUAUUUAUUUAUUUAUAAUAAUAAUUAAUAAAAAUAAUUUUAAUAAUUUUAUUUUAAGUAUAUUAUAUAAAAAUAAUAAUUUAAAUUAUAGUUUAAAGUAUUGUAAAAGAAUAAUUAUUUAUUAUUAAAGUAAAUUUGAUUUAUUGUACCUUUUGUAUCAGGGCUUAUUAAAUAAAAAUUAUUUAAUUUAAUUUUCUCGAAUUUAAAAGAGCUAAAUUAAUAUAAAAUUUAUUGUUUUAUAAAUAUUUUUAAUAUUAAUUUAGUAAUGAAAUGUUAAUCGUUUUUAAAUAUAUCUAGUUUUUUAAGAAUUAAAUUUAAUUUAGUAUAUUUAUAAAAAAUUAUUUUUUUAGAAAAAUAAUUUUUAUUUGUAUAAAAAUUAAUUAGGGAUUAGCUUAAUUAAUUUAAUUAUAAAUUUUGUAUUAGAUAAAAUAUAAUAGGAAUAAAAAUUUUCAUUUAUAAAUAAAGUGUUAUAAUUAAUUUAUUUAAAAAAAAAUUUAUUUGAUUUUAAUUUAUUUAUUAAAAUAAUAAAUUUAAUAAUUUAUUUAUUAAAUAAUGAUAAGAUUAGUAUUAAUUUAUUUAAAAAUAAAAAAUAUUAUUAAGAUUAAAAUAAGGAAUUCAGCAAAAAUAAUACUCACCUGUUUAACAAAAACAUGUCUUUUAGAUUAUAAUUUAAAGUCUAACCUGCCCACUGAUUUUAUUAAAGGGCCGCGGUAUAUUGACUGUGCAAAGGUAGCAUAAUCAUUUGUCUUUUAAUUGAAGGCUAGAAUGAAUGGUUGAAUGAAGUAUUAACUGUCUCAUUUUAAUAAAUUAAAAAUUUAAUUUUUUAGUUAAAAAGCUAAAAUUUUUUUAAAGGACGAGAAGACCCUAUAGAUCUUUAUAUUUUAAUUUUAUAUAAAAUUUAGUUUAAAAUAAUUUAUUUUUAAUUAAAAUAUUUUGUUGGGGUGAUAAUAAAAUUAAAUUAACUUUUAAAUUUUAACCAUUGAUAUAUGAAUAAUUGAUCCUUUUUUAAAGAUUAAAAAUUUAAGUUACCUUAGGGAUAACAGCGUAAUUUUUUUUGAGAGUUCUUAUCGAUAAAAAAGAUUGCGACCUCGAUGUUGAAUUAAAGGUUAUUUUUAAAUGUAGCAGUUUAAAGUUUAAGUCUGUUCGACUUUUGAAUCUUUACAUGAUUUGAGUUCAAACCGGUGUAAGCCAGGUUGGUUUCUAUCCUUAAAUUUAUUAUAAUAUUUUAGUACGAAAGGACCAAAUAUUUAAAAUAAUUUUUAUUAAAUGAAUAUUAUUAAAU
rnacentral:rRNA from 1 species